rnacentral:misc_RNA from 1 species
GAUGAAGAACGUAGCGAAAUGCGAUAAGUAAUGCGAAUUGCAGAAUCCGUGAGUCAUCGAAUCUUUGAACGCACAUUGCGCCCCUUGGUUAUUCCGAAGGGCAUGCCUGUUCGAGCGUCAUUAUCACCCCUCAAGCCCUGGCUUGGUGUUGGACUUUAGUUAUAGCUUUGCCUAUCAACUGGUCUCAAAGAUAGUGACGGCGCCCCAGGGGGAACCGGGUACGAGGAGCUUUUUACUAAGCAUGUAUCUGGGACGACUCUGAUGGGCGACGGUCUUGUUAUACUUUUUACCUAAGUGUUGACCUCGGAUCAGGUAGGAAUACCCGCUGAACUUAAGCAUAUCAAUAAGCGGAGGA